rnacentral:rRNA from 1 species
UCCGCAGGCGGGAAAAUAAGUCAGUGGUGAAAGCCUACAGCUUAACUGUAGAACUGCCAUUGAAACUGUUUUUCUUGAGUAUAGAUGAAGUGGGCGGAAUGUGUCAUGUAGCGGUGAAAUGCAUAGAUAUGACACAGAACACCGAUUGCGAAGGCAGCUCACUAAACUAUUACUGACGCUCAUGGACGAAAGCGUGGGGAGCGAACAGGAUUAGAUACCCUGGUAGUCC